AUGCUGGUUUCACUCCUAGCUUGACUACAUAUAACAGUUUGAUGUAUAUGUACAGCCGGUCUAGCAAUUACGAGAAAUCAGAGCAACUGCUAAUGGAAAUUAUAGCAAAAGGAGUCCGGCCUGAUGUUAUUUCAUACAACACAGUAAUAUAUGCUUAUUGUAGAAACGGGCGGAUGAGAGAUGCCUCACGAAUCUUUACAGAAAUGAAGGAAUCUGGAAUUGUUCCUGAUGUGAUCACAUAUAAUACCUUCGUUUCAAGGUAUGCAGCUGAUGCCAUGUUUAUUGAUGCCAUUGAAGUGGUUCGCUACAUGAUCAAACAAGGUUGUAAG
rnacentral:misc_RNA from 1 species